CCCCGUCAUAUUAACGGCAGGUGAAAUCAAGCUGAAUGACCUACUGUGAUUGGCCAAUGGCUCUAAUUAGCAUAUAGCGCGUGAGAGACGCGCAUCUAACGCACUUCCCAAAUCAUUCCAAACAGUAGCCUACUCUUACCUACUGUAUGUGAGGCAGCAACUGGUGUGGCGUAUUUAUUUAUUAUUUUUUGUGAUACACUAUUUAGUGUGCUAGUGCGCAAUUUGGGACGUUCACCACAGCUGUUUUAAUGAGCGCGAGCAUGAACUCAACACUCAAAACAAGAAGAAACGUAGCGUUAACGUUUCUUUUUUCUUUCCUUCUUUCUGGAAACAACAAAUAAACCCUACGUUAUUUUAUAAAAGGCCAAACUUUUCAUAAACUCUUCAUGGGGAAAGCUCUUUUUUGACCUCAACUACUUUCCCCAACUCAUUAUAGUCGGACGCUCACAGCUCAUUUCUGUCAACACAGCGCUGAGAGACCAGUCUACCAGCUUGUCACACCAAAAGAAAUCUGCGAAAAUCGAUGGCAGUUGACACUAGAGGACGAGGGAGUGUACGAGUGCUCGGAGACAGGGCUGGUGUUUGAGGUGUCUCAGAGUGUCCAGAUCCGCUACCGUGUCCUUUCCUGGAGCAAGUUCGGCGCUUUCCUGAGUGACUCGUGGAGGUUUGCCGGGCCCAUUUUCGACGUGGACUGUGAUUCUUCCAUCCUCAAGUCCAUCCAGUUUCCUCAUUCACUCUGUCUGGCAGAUCAGGACAACGAGGUGAAAUUCAGUGUCCUGCACGUGAAGAAACACAAGGGCCUCAUCGAGCCUUCAGUUGAUCACUCGCGCAGUCAUAUAUAGUGGAAUGUGUCGUCUCUGUCUCCGGUGGGGCCGGUCGUACGGACGUCUAAGCCAGCCGAGCACCACGGUGUUGUCCAGGUCUAUAAGGAAGUGGGCCAGCAGGACUCGUACUCUUUCAGGGUCUACCUCGCUACCAGCAACGACUCUGAAAUCACUUGUGUGCAGAGUCCAGUGGGGUGUUUUCCUAUUGAUCUGCCCUGGGAUGGAGACUGACGAGGCUUAAGUACACUUCCGGAAGCGUGCAGGCAACCAAUCCUGUCGCACAAGGAGGGAGCAGGUGUGGACAAGACGUGAUCGUCCAGUAGCAGGCCGGAAC